rnacentral:rRNA from 1 species
GUAGUCCUGGCCGUAAACGAUGUCGACUUGGAGGUUGUGCCCUUGAGGCGUGGCUUCCGGAGCUAACGCGUUAAGUCGACCGCCUGGGGAGUACGGCCGCGAGGUUAAAACUCAAAUGAAUUGACGGGGGCCCGCACAAGCGGUGGAGCAUGUGGUUUAAUUCGAUGCAGCGCGAAGAACCUUACCUGGUCUUGACAUCCACGGAAGUUUUCAGAGAUGAGAAUGUGCCUUCGGGAACCGUGAGACAGGUGCUGCAUGGCUGUCGUCAGCUCGUGUUGUGAAAUGUUGGGUUAAGUCCCGCAACGAGCGCAACCCUUAUCCUUUGUUGCCAGCGGUCCGGCCGGGAACUCAAAGGAGACUGCCAGUGAUAAACUGGAGGAAGGUGGGGAUGACGUCAAGUCAUCAUGGCCCUUACGACCAGGGCUACACACGUGCUACAAUGGCGCAUACAAAGAGAAGCGACCUCGCGAGAGCAAGCGGACCUCAUAAAGUGCGUCGUAGUCCGGAUUGGAGUCUGCAACUCGACUCCAUGAAGUCGGAAUCGCUAGUAAUCGUGGAUCAGAAUGCCACGGUGAAUACGUUCCCGGGCCUUGUACACACCGCCCGUCACACCAUGGGAGUGGGUUGCAAAAGAAGUAGGUAGCUUAACCUUCGGGAGGGCGCUUACCACUUUGUGAUUCAUGACUGGGGUGAAGUCGUAACAAGGUAACCGUAGGGGAACCUGCGGCUGGAUCACCUCC